rnacentral:rRNA from 1 species
AGCCAGACUCCUACGGGAGGCAGCAGUGGGGAAUAUUGCACAAUGGGGGAAACCCUGAUGCAGCGACACCGCGUGAGCGAUGAAGUAUUUCGGUAUGUAAAGCUCUAUCAGCAGGGAAGAAGAUGACGGUACCUGACUAAGAAGCCCCGGCUAACUACGUGCCAGCAGCCGCGGUAAUACGUAGGGGGCAAGCGUUAUCCGGAUUUACUGGGUGUAAAGGGAGCGUAGACGGCGAUGCAAGCCAGAUGUGAAAGCCCGGGGCUCAACCCCGGGACUGCAUUUGGAACUGUGUGGCUGGAGUGUCGGAGAGGCAGGCGGAAUUCCUAGUGUAGCGGUGAAAUGCGUAGAUAUUAGGAGGAACACCAGUGGCGAAGGCGGCCUGCUGGACGAUGACUGACGUUGAGGCUCGAAAGCGUGGGGAGCAAACAGGAUUAGAUACCCUCGUAC